UUAUACUCGAUUGAUACCAACUUGAAAAAGAACAGAUAUACCCUGUCUUCAUUUAUGGCAGGGGUGCCCAAACAGUACACCCCCAGAUGUUUUAAAACUACGGCUUCCAUCAAGCUUUGUCAUUUUAAAGGCAUUUUAGAGGCACGCAAAGCAUCGUGGGAGUUGUAGUUCUACAACAUCUGGGGAUCUACCUAUUGGACAGGCCUGAUUUAUGG